rnacentral:rRNA from 1 species
UCGAGAAUCUUCGGCAAUGGGCGCAAGCCUGACCGAGCGACGCCGCGUGUGGGAUGAAGGCCCUUGGGUUGUAAACCACUGUCAGAGGGGAUGAAAUGCGGGUGGGUUCUCCCAUCCGUUUGACAUAGCCUCAGAGGAAGCACGGGCUAAGUUCGUGCCAGCAGCCGCGGUAAUACGAACUGUGCAAACGUUAUUCGGAAUCACUGGGCUUAAAGGGUGCGUAGGCGGCCAGAUAAGUAGGGUGUGAAAGCCCCCGGCUCAACCGGGGAAUGGCGCUCUAAACUGUCUGGCUGGAGUGAGAUAGGGGUGUGCGGAACUUCCGGUGGAGCGGUGAAAUGUGUUGAUAUCGGAAGGAACGCCGGUGGCGAAAGCGGCACACUGGAUCUCAACUGACGCUGAGGCACGAAAGCCAGGGGAGCAAACGGG